AUUGAACGCUGGCGGCAGGCUUAACACAUGCAAGUCGAGCGAGCGGCGGACGGGUGUGUAGUGUCUGGGAAACUGCCUGAUGGGGGGGGAUAACUAGUGGAAACGGUAGAUAAUACCGCAUACCAUCAGAUGCGCCCAGAUGGGAUGAGCUAGGAGGUGGGGUAAUGGCUCACCUAGGCGACGAUCCCUAGCUGGUCUGAGAGGAUGACCAGCCACACUGGGACUGAGACACGGGCCAGACUCCUACGGGAGGCAGCAGUGGGGAAUAUUGCACAAUGGGCGCAAGCCUGAUGCAGCCAUGCCGCGUGUGUGAAGAAGGCCUUCGGGUUGUAAAGCACUUUCAGCGAGGAGGCGUUACUCGCAGAAGAAGCACCGGCUAACUCCGUGCCAGCCGCCGCGGUAAUAC
rnacentral:rRNA from 1 species